rnacentral:rRNA from 1 species
GAUGAACGCUGGCGGCGUGCCUAAUACAUGCAAGUCGAGCGAACGAACGAGCAGCUUGCUUCUCUGAUGUUAGCGGCGGACGGGAGAGUAACACGUGGAUAACCUUCCUGUAAGACUGGGAUAACUUCGGGAAACCGGUGCUCCUUACGGUUAAUAUUUUGCACCGCAUGGAUCAUAAGUUAAAGACGGUAUUGCUGGCACAUAUAGAUGGUUCCGCGCUGCAUUAGCUAAUUGGUUAGGUAACGGCUUACCAAAGCAACGAGACAUAGCCGACCGGAGAGGGUGAGCGGCCACACUGGAACUGAGACGCGGUCCAGACUCCAACGGUACGCAACGGUGGGGUGUGGACCGCAAGGGGCGAGAGCCUAGAGGGGCACCGCCACGUGGGUGAUAAAAGUCUUCGGAUAGGAAAACUCAGUUAUUAGUGAAGAGCAAAUGUGUAAGCAACUGGGCACAGCUUGACGGUACUUAAUGAGAAAGCCACGGCUAACUACGUG